AUGAUCUGUUUUAUAUCUUCAAGUCUGCGGUAAAAAUAUAUCUUUUUGGUAUAAUGGACAGAAAAGACAGAGAACACAGACAGGGCUGUUUGAAUAUGCCAUAAAUAAUUGUACUCCAACUACUUAGACACUGAAAAUGGAUGCACACAGUUCUUUGAUUUCUCUGGUAUUUUGAUUUAUUUGUUUGUAAAAUAAAAUUGCCAUUAGACUUGCAGAUAUUGAGUCCCCUCUACAAAAUCAAAACUUUUUUGUAAAAAAAAAAAUGAAUGGAGAAAUAAUAUUAUGUAAUAAAAUGGUGAAGAAGGAAAUAGUUGGAGUCAUAUGAUCGAAGAAGAUGGCGCAUGCGUCAGACAAUUGCUCUCUGUACAUGGACCAUGGUGACUUGAUUCCUCUUCUUUCAUUUAAUGCAGGCCUAUGUUUUUGUGAAUUUCCAUGUAAGGAUCCUUGGAUGAGUAGGACGACCAGUUACUCUUCAAUGACCCGAUUCUUCAUCUUCCCCGUGAUAUAAAAUAAAAACACAACGACAGGAUAAAGAAUCUAUCGUCAUACUCACAUUGAAAACAGUGCUGGAUAUUAUAUCUGCAAAACCGGCCAUUUUGAAGUUUUGAUGCCAUCCUUGAAUCUGAUUCCAAAAUAAUGGACAGAUGCAAUUUUAAUGUAUUGAAGAGAUUUUUAGAUUAUU